GAUGGCCAUGUUUUUCCAGUAGAGGAAGUGGGUAAUUCUCUCCAGGAAGGGAGGAGAGUAACAAGGAAGAAGGAGGAGAUGGGGCCCUUUUACUUUUGCUUGUUUUCAUGAUCCGGGGAAUCCCUGUGAUCUCCUUCUCCGGCCGCUCCCUGUUCAACCCCAUGGCUGGGUCCCAGCCAGUGAGGGGGGCGGUGGGUGGGUAGGAGUCAGGGUUCACACGGGCUACGCCUGAGCCCCAAGGGUGGGAGGGGUGCUGCCUGGCGCGUCCUGUGCUAGCCACGGAGUCAUUCAUUUAUUUGGUCACUCAAUUGUUUGCUGGGUUUUGGCUCAGCUGCUGCCGAGUCCUGGGGGUUCGGGGACCCUGGAAGCGGGUGCUUGCCCAUGUGGAGCUCAUGGCUGGGACGCUGACCGUGAGCAGAUGCUUCUCAUGUGGCCAGGGUGUGACGAGGCCUGCAGGAGUGAGGAUGAGCAGAUGAGGGCCACUGGGGGCCUGGAGGGUGGUGCUGGGGACUGCGGGAGUGUCUGGAGGGCUGCCUGGGAGCCCGGAACGUCAGAGAGGGAGCAGUGAGUCAGGGUCAGCGGGGGGCCUGGCCAAGGCUUUUGGACCUCCCCACACCACGAGGCCUCCAGUCCAGGCAGGGAAGCCUGCAGGCCCUUCCUCAAGCUGCCCCUCUCAGGGCAGUGGGCUGCACGCCAGGACCCGCAGGCCUGGGGGCACCGUGCCAGCCUCUCUCUAGACCGGCUGCUCUCCCGGGGCCACUGUGUGAGGUUGUUGGGCUGGCCGGGGCUGGGGGCUUCUCUGCAUCCCACAGUAGUGCCCUGGCAGGGCAGAAUGGGUGGCCUCAGGGACCCUGGCCUGGCCUGACCUGAGCCAGCACGUGGAGCAAGUGUUCGCUGAUGGGCCGGAUGCCGAUGCCCGUCCAAGCAGCCAAGAGUGGAAAACAUGGCUCAGUACUGGGCUCAGUUCCCUCCAGGUCCCUUGUGAGCUGC
rnacentral:lncRNA from 1 species